rnacentral:rRNA from 1 species
AUUGAACGCUGGCGGCAUGCUUUACACAUGCAAGUCUAACGGCAGCGGGGGCUUCGGCCUGGCGGCGAGUGGCGAACGGGUGAGUAAUGCAUCGGAACGUGCCCAGUAGUGGGGGAUAGCCCGGCGAAAGCCGGAUUAAUACCGCAUACGACCUGAGGGUGAAAGCGGGGGACCGAAAGGCCUCGCGCUAUUGGAGCGGCCGAUGUCGGAUUAGCUAGUUGGUGGGGUAAAGGCUUACCAAGGCGACGAUCCGUAGCUGGUCUGAGAGGACGACCAGCCACACUGGGACUGAGACACGGCCCAGACUCCUACGGGAGGCAGCAGUGGGGAAUUUUGGACAAUGGGGGCAACCCUGAUCCAGCCAUGCCGCGUGCGGGAAGAAGGCCUUCGGGUUGUAAACCGCUUUUGUUCGGGAAGAAAUCCUCUGGGCUAAUACCCCGGGGGGAUGACGGUACCGAAAGAAUAAGCACCGGCUAACUACGUG